CAGACAAACUGGAGAGACAGCUGACAGGAUGUCGUCAUCUGUAACCGUCACUCGCCACAGUUCUCAAGCAAGGGACAAUAAUGGCAUCAGCCAUUCAAGUUAUGAUCCUGGCAGAUCUACUACUAUCUGAAAAGUAGUCUCUGCAGAUAUUGUCAAGAUGCACAAGAUGGAGCGUGGAGAGACGGGACAUGGACCACAGUUUUUCAGCACCCACACCCCACACUCAAAUUCAUAUAGAAGUCCUCAAUUAUUAAAUGUUAAUAUGAUAGUUUAUAUUUAGCUGUGAAGUUAUAGUUCAUUGUCAUAAAUAUUAAACUACAUAUUAUUAUUAUUAUUAUUGUUUUACAUGAUAUGCAAAUUUCACCAAUUUGUUCAAUGUGUUAAUGAACUUUUUGAAAGUGACUAUCUUUAAUAAUUCAGAUACCUGUUGAAAUGCACAUGUAAUUAUAUACUUGCUCGUAUCUGGAAGGUUGUGUUAAUAAAAAUGAUGUUGAAAGCAAAUGUUGCAAUACUGCUAAUCUUAAAAUAACAUUUUAUUAAACUAAACUUUGUAAUGUUCCAAAUAAAUGUUUUUAGGAUGUUGUAUUUUUAAGAAAAUGUAGGUGGAAAUAAAGUUGUAGGAACAUUAUGCUAACCAUAAAAUAACAUUCUAGCUACGUUAAGCAAACUGGACAUUUUAACGUUCUUGGAAUGUUCCAAAUAAACGUUCAUAGAACGUUAUAUUUUUUUAAAUGAAAUUUAGGUUGCAGGAACGUUAUGCUAACCAUAAAAUAAUGUUCUAGGAACGUUAAGCAAACUGGACAUUUUAACGUUCUUGGAAUGUUCCAAACAAACGUUCAUAUAACGUUAUAUUGUUAGUGAAAUUUAGGUUGCAAGAACGUUGUAGGAACGUUAUGCUAACAAAAAAUAACGUUCUAGGAACGUUAAGCAA